ACAUUGGGAAAAAACAUGGAGUCAGCUCCGGCAGCCCCCGACCCCGCCGCCAGCGAGCCAGGCAGCAGCGGCGCGGACGCGGCCGCCGGCUCCAGGGAGACCCCGCUGAACCAGGAAUCCGCCCGCAAGAGCGAGCCGCCUGCCCCGGUGCGCAGACAGAGCUAUUCCAGCACCAGCAGAGGCUUCUAGAGGAUCUGUUGCUGAUUGCACUGAAACCAGAAGUUGUACUUGGCCAAGGACGAGCUAACCCCAAACAGCAAGAGGUUUGAGUUGGCUCCAAAGCACAAGCCUCACAAAUAUCCCGUGAGUCUCCCACAGGCUUGGGGCUCUCUGUUUAGAAUUAGAACCUAAUCUUCAAAUAUCCCUUUACCCUCUUGCCUCAAAAAGGAAGGCAGUGAAUAGCAGCAGCAAGGCAUCCUGGAUGAGCACUGGAAGGGGAGAAUGCUCAUGUUUUAGUCGUGGGCUUUCCACCAGUUAGCUGUGCAGCUUUGGGCAGAUACUUGAACUUCUCUGG
rnacentral:sRNA from 1 species